rnacentral:rRNA from 1 species
UGUUGCGGUUAAAGCUCGCUAGUUGGAUCUGUGUCCCGCGCCGUCGGUUCACCGCCUGUCGGUGUUAAACUGGCGUGUAUGCGGGACGUCCUGUCGGUGGCGGAACGGGGCUUCGUCAAACCGUAGGGGUAGUCCAGGUCCCCUGCGACUCCCUGAAGGCUGGCGUAUGCUUCCGGCCGCCUUGUCAAUCCCGCCGCGGUGCUCUUCAUCGAGUGUCGAGGCGGGCCGGCACGUUUACUUUGAACAAAUUAGAGUGCUUUAAGCAGGCUCUUUCCCGCCUGCAUAUUGUGUGCAUGGAAUAAUGGAAUAGGACCUCGGUUCUAUUUUGUUGGUUCUCGGAAUCUGAGGUAAUGAUCAAUGGGGACAGGCGGGGGCAUUCGUAUUGCGACGUUAGAGGUGAAAUUCUUGGAUCGUCGCAAGACGGACCGAAGCGAAAGCAUUUGCCAAGUAUGUUCUCGUCGAUCAAGAACGAAAGUUAGAGGUUCGAAGGCGAUCAGAUACCGCCCUAGUUCUAACCAUAAACUAUGCCUGCCAGCGAUCCGCCGGUGUUCCUCCGAUGACCCGGCGGGCAGCUUCCGGGAAACCAGAGCUUUUGGGUUCCGGGGGAAGUAUGGUUGCAAAGCUGAAACUUAAAGGAAUUGACGGAAGGGCACCACCAGGAGUGGAGCCUGCGGCUUAAUUUGACUCAACACGGGAAACCUCACCAGGCCCGGACACCGGAAGGAUUGACAGAUUGAGAGCUCUUUCUUGAUUCGGUGGGUGGUGGUGCAUGGCCGUUCUUAGUUGGUGGAGCGAUUUGUCUGGUUAAUUCCGAUAACGAACGAGACUCUAGCCUACUAACUAGACGUUUCCGGUAUCCACAAUCGUGCUACCGGCGAGUAAAUUUCUUCUUAGAGGGACAGGCGGCUUCUAGCCGCACGAGACUGAGCAAUAACAGGUCUGUGAUGCCCUUAGAUGUCCUGGGCCGCACGCGCGCUACACUGAAGGAAUCAGCGUGUCUUCCCUGUCCGAAAGGACCGGGUAACCCGCUGAACCUCCUUCGUGCUAGGGAUUGGGGCUUGCAAUUGUUCCCCAUGAACGAGGAAUUCCCAGUAAGCGCGAGUCAUAAGCUCGCGUUGAUUACGUCCCUGCCCUUUGUACACACCGCCCGUCGCUACUACCGAUUGAAUGAUUUAGUGAGGUCUUCGGACUGGUGCGCGGAGGUGGCUUCUGUUGCUUCCGAUGUUGUCGGAAAGAUGACCAAACUUGAUCAUUUAGAGGAAGUAAAAGUCGUAACAAGGUUUCCGUAGUG